GGACAUGCCAGGAAUCCUCAGAGAUGGGGGGAGUGCUUCGGAGCCUGGGCACAGGUGCUGCAUGGCUGUCGUCAGCUCGUGUCGUGAAUUUGGUUAAGUCCCGCAACGAGCGCAACCUGUCUCAUGUCCAGCACGUUAUGGUGGGACUCUGAGAGACUCCCGGGUUCAACUCGGAGGAAGGUGGGGAUGACGUCAAGUCAUCAUGGCCCUUAUGGCAGGGCUACACACGUGCUACAAUGGCCAGUACAAAGGGUUGCCAACCCGCGAGGGGGAGCUAAUCCCAGAAAGCUGGUCGUAGCAUGGAGUCUGCAACUCGACUCCAUGAGUCGGAUUCGCUAGU
rnacentral:rRNA from 1 species